rnacentral:rRNA from 1 species
CGUAGCCACGGUAAAACGGAGGGGGCUAGCGUUGUUCGGAAUUACUGGGCGUAAAGCGCACGUAGGCGGCUUGGUAAGUUAGAGGUGAAAGCCCGGAGCUCAACUCCGGAAUUGCCUUUAAGACUGCCGAGCUAGUAGGUGAGAGAGGUAAGUGGAAUUCCGAGUGUAGAGGUGAAAUUCGUAGAUAUUCGGAAGAACACCAGUGGCGAAGGCGGCUUACUGGCUCAUUCUAGACGCUGAGGUGCGAAAGCGUGGGGAGCAAACAGGAUUAGAUACCCCAGUAGUCCCUGUCUCUUAUACA